rnacentral:lncRNA from 1 species
UAAUCUGCAUUAUUAACAUUUGCUUCACGGUUUUUAUGUCUAGACAAUCCACAAAACAAAUCUAGUCCUGGUUUAAAGCGUUUGUCCGUUCCUAAAGUGUUAAUUCUCAUACUAAAAAUUUAUCAAUCUGUUUUCAGGAAUCCGCUCUAGCAAACCACUAGACUGAAGUUUCCAACAGCCAAACCUGCACAAUGCCUGGCUUACAGUAUUUGAUAGAUGCUUGUUGACGGACUGAUUGGGCAUAGCCUCGAUUCCCUAAAAACACUGAAGUAGUCAACACAUAUCUACUGACUAGAUGCCCACACUUUCAUUAACCAGAGGGCACUAUCCUCCCAAGGAAGCCCCUCAUCUCAGAAGAGACCUCGUGGCUGGAGGUGAGCUAGAUUUAAUAUUCUGAGAAGGCCCCUUGGCUGAGGCCUCUGAAAUCCCUUUGACUUACUCCAGGCCAGAGAAAAUUUCCUACCCUUACCCUCUUCUCCUUCUAAAUUUCUUCUUACUAUUAUAAUUAAACCACUAUAAAAAAUCCCAAACUGACUUAUUUCAUUGAGAUUGAAUUUUAAUCCCUGGAGACCACUAAUAUAAUAUAAUCAGUUAACAACCCUAAUUUUACCUUUACAGUCAGCAAAUAAAUAAAUAAAAAAAAGAGUAGUUAUGUAGUUA